rnacentral:rRNA from 1 species
GAGACUCUGUGCGCGUGCAUAUCAAUAAGCGGAGGAAAAGAAACUAACUAGGAUUCCCUCAGUAACGGCGAGUGAAGCGGGAAGAGCUCAAAUUUGAAAUCUUCAAGGUUCUACCUUGACGAAUUGUAGUUUAAAGAAGUGUUUUCUGUUGGAGUUUUGGUAAAAGUUCUUUGGAAUAGGACAUCAUAGAGGGUGAGAAUCCCGUAUUUGACCGUUACUUUCCAGCUGUGUGAUACACUUUCAAAGAGUCGGAUUGUUUGGGAAUGCAGUCCAAAAUGGGUGGUAAAUUUCAUCUAAAGCUAAAUAUUGGCGAGAGACCGAUAGCGAACAAGUACCGUGAGGGAAAGAUGAAAAGAACUUUGAAAAGAGAGUUAAACAGUACGUGAAAUUGUCAAAAGGGAAGCGUUUGACACCAGUGUUGUUUAGUUGAAAAUCAAUUCAAUAAUUUUUGAUUUUAAGUAGUAUUGACUUCAUCAGCUUGCUGCUUUCUUUUCGAAAAUUAUUGAAUGCACUUUUCAGUUAACAAGUCAACAUCAAUUUCUUUUGUUGUAAAAGGGUAAGAGGAAGGUGGCUUACGCUUCGGCGUAAGUGUUUAUAGCCUUUUACCUCUGCAAUCGGAGAGAUUGAGGUCAGCAGCGUAGACUCCUUCGGGGUUAGAUACACUUGUGCUAAGCUAUAGCCUUGUAUAGACAACUUGUUGACUAUGCUUCAGUCAUGUAGCUUACUCGCUUAUGCUAUUUUACCUACGCUUAGGAUGUUGAGUCGUAGAGCACGCAG